AUUGAACGCUGGCGGCAGGCCUAACACAUGCAAGUCGAGCGGAUGAAGGGAGCUUGCUCCUGGAUUCAGCGGCGGACGGGUGAGUAAUGCCUAGGAAUCUGCCUGGUAGUGGGGAAUAAGGCCUGGAAACGGGCGUAAAUACGGCAAACGUCCUGAGGGAGAAAGUGGGGGACUUUCGACCCAUACCCUACCGGUCAAGCCUAGGUCGGAUUAGCUAGUUGGUGGGGUAAAGGCUUUCCAAGGCGACGAUCCGUAACUGGUCUGAGAGGAUGAUCAGUCACACUGGAACUGAGACACGGUCCAGACUCCUACGGGAGGCAGCAGUGGGGAAUAUUGGACGAUGGGCGAAAGCCUGAUCCAGCCAUGCCGCGUGUGUUAAGAAGGUCUUCGGAUUGUAAAGCACUUUAAGUUGGGAGGAAGGACAGUAAGUUAAUACCUUGCUGUUUUGACGUUACCAACAGAAUAAGCACCGGCUAACUUCGUG
rnacentral:rRNA from 1 species